GGGAACUACCUAGUAGUACGGAAUAACACAGAGAAAUUUGUGCUAAUACCGUAUACGCCCUUUUGGGGAAAGAUUUAUCGCUAUUAGAUGGGCCCGCGUUGGAUUAGCUAGUUGGUGGGGUAAUGCCUACCAAGGCGACGAUCUAUAGCUGGUCUGAGAGGAUGAUCAGCCACACUGGAACUGGGACACGGUCCAGACUCCUACGGGAGGCAGCAGUGGGGAAUAUUGGACAAUGGGGGCAACCCUGAUCCAGCCAUGCCGCGUGAGUGAUGAAGGCCCUAGGGUUGUAAAGCUCUUUCAACGGUGAAGAUAAUGACGGUAACCGUAGAAGAAGCCCCGGCUAACUUCGUGCCAGCAGCCGCGGUAAUACGAAGGGGGCUAGCGUUGUUCGGAAUUACUGGGCGUAAAGCGUACGUAGGCGGACUGAUCAGUCAGGGGUGAAAUCCCGGGGCUCAACCCCGAACUGCCUUUGAUACUGUCAGUCUUGAGUUCGAGAGAGGUGAGUGGAAUUCCGAGUGUAGAGGUGAAAUUCGUAGAUAUUCGGAGGAACACCAGUGGCGAAGGGGCUCACUGGCUCGAUACUGACGCUGAGGUACGAAAG
rnacentral:rRNA from 1 species